rnacentral:misc_RNA from 1 species
GAUGAAGAACGUAGCGAAAUGCGAUAAGUAGUGUGAAUUGCAGAAUUCGGUGAAUCAUCGAAUCUUUGAACGCACAUUGCGCCCCUUGGUAUUCCAUGGGGCAUGCCUGUUCGAGCGUCAUUUGUACCUUCAAGCUUUGCUUGGUGUUGGGUGUUUGUCCAUUCUCUUGCAGAGGGACUCGCCUUAAAGUAAUUGGCAGCCAGUGUUUUGGUUUUGAAGCGCAGCACAAGUCGCGAUUCAAAGCUAUACGCCCGCUUCCACAAGCCUUUUUCACUUUUGACCUCGGAUCGGGUAGGGAUACCCGCUGAACUUAAGCAUAUCAAUAAGCGGAGGA